rnacentral:rRNA from 1 species
GGACCCGCACAAGUAGUGGAGCAUGUGGUUUAAUUCGAAGAUACGCGCAGAACCUUACCAACACUUGACAUGUUCGUCGCGACUUUAAGAGAUUAAAGUUUUCGGUUCGGCCGGACGAAACACAGGUGCUGCAUGGCUGUCGUCAGCUCGUGUCGUGAGAUGUUGGGUUAAGUCCCGCAACGAGCGCAACCCUCACUUUUAGUUGCCAUCAUUUAGUUGGGCACUCUGAAAGAACUGCCAGUGAUAAGCUGGAGGAAGGUGGGGAUGACGUCAAGUCCUCAUGGCCCUUACGUGUUGGGCUACACACGUGCUACAAUGGUAUCUACAACAGGAAGCAAAACAGCGAUGUUAAGCAAAUCCCAUCAAAGUCUGUCUCAGUUCGAAUUGCAGGCUGCAACUCGCCUGCAUGAAGUUGGAAUC